CCUCCCGCUCCUUCCCCCGCUUCCUCCCCUGUGUGGGUCUUAUGGGAUUCUCCGGUUGUUCUUAACAUGAUUAUUAUUUUAAAACAGGAUGGUGCUUCACAAAAUGGGUAUUCAGCUCAUGAGAUGCGGCUCACCUCCUGUUAGCAGACUGCUAGUCUGUUCCUGGAGGCAAUGAAAAGCAGCAUCUCCUCUAAUUCAUCACCAUCCGAAGGGAGAGAGAAGAACGAGAGACGUUCAAGAGUCAUCAGAGUGGAUGUCUGCACCUUUAUAUCCUGUGCAAAUAUGUGUUUAAUGAGAAAAUAUUUUCCACCUGGAAUUACAAAUGUGUCUUUGCUCCCUGCUUACAAACAUCUUCUUUGAGACGUCGACCUGUUACAAUUGCAGUUUAAUCUGAAAUGGAAUUACGGCAGCAGUAAUUAGUUUAUAGAGGAGUCUAAUUGUCUUAUUGUGUUUAAAAAAAAUAUUCCUUUAUCUCCUCGGGAACUUUGAAAGGAGGAUAGCGUUUCCUUCCCACUGCCCCCCCCCUCCCUCCCCCCAUCAACUUCUCUCUUCCGCUGAGGCAGUACAACACAACUAUUCAUUCAAACCAAUAAUCUCAAAGUCAUUACCACUUAUCAAAAGGGCUGCGAAUUAAUUAUGUUAACUGCAAGAAUUUUCAUUAGAUCUUUAAAUGUGUACACUUCAUCAGUUCUGAGAACUCAAUUUGAUUACAGUUGAUUUCUUUCUACUUAAUGAGGCAAGCGUUUCUUUCUUUUCCCCCUGUCCCUUUUUUGUCUGUUUCUCUGUUUCUUCAUUAAUUGGAUUAUGAUCAAUGCAAGCUUUAAUGUUAUGGAAAACUUAACCGAAGCCUCAAUCUACCACGACACAGUUUUUGCGGCAGAAGAUUAGAGAACGUCGUAUCGUCAUUUGUCAAAUAUCAAACUGUCUUUCCUUAACGAUGUUGGAAUGAAACGCUGCUAAUCACUGCUGACGAACGCACGCUGCUGUUCUACAAAGAUAAUGAGUCUGCCAGAGUCAAAGGGAGCAACAAACACCCGAGCAGAGCCCAGAAGGAGGAGAUGAAACGUGACAUAUCAACAAAAUACAGAUACUCAAGUGCAACUACGGACUGACAACGACUGUUAGAGAUUUGACCCAAACGGAGCUGAGAGACACAGCGGGGAAGACGAAGUCAGAGACAUUACAGAGGCCCGUGUCAACCACCGGGGGACGCGAGGUGUGAAAGAGAGAAACAAAGUGAUAAAAAGGGGAAACGGAGUGAAGAGCUGAAGCAGGCAGGAAGGAUGAGGACUAAACACACUUUGAUGAGAGCUACUUGGAUGAAAAUCCUCCUUACUGGUGAUCCACCCGCCAAGAACUUUACCUCAUGAAGUAUACCUUCCACACCCCUGUAAACACACACACACACACACACACACACACACACACACACACACACACACACACAGACCAGCGAUUUAUAGACAGGUGAAAUGCACCUGUGCGUUUUAGCCUCAUCCACUCUGGACUCAAAAUGUCACACAGACACAUAAACACACUCACAGCAUGGCGGACACAAAUACACACACAGGUGCUGCCGGGUGGACCAUGGGGAAGAGAUGAGACCGCUCUCGCUCCACUGACUGGAAAACCUGAUCUUCUUACCUCAGCAAGUUCAGAUGGAGGGACUCAGUGGAGAGACAUCUGUGUGUGUGUGUGUGUGUGUGUGUGUGUGUGUGUGUGUGUGUGUGUGUGUGUGUGUGUGUGUGUGUGUGUGUGUGUGUGUGUGUGUGUGUGCGUGUGCUUUUGUAUGUCGUGAGAAGGAGAGCCAGAGCAAGAGCCUCAUCAGCAGAGCACAAGAUUGAGGAGCAAGUGAGAAAAAGAACGACGCUGGGUCCUUAGCUGUUGUCAUGGCAACACAUUAACAGGUCGUAGGGUAAACAGGUGACUUUUAGUUAGUCAAUCGCCCCAAAAAUGUGCAGAA
ensembl:lncRNA